GGGAGGGAAAAGGCUGAAGCUGCAUUGAUAGAAGAGCGCAAGCUCUCUGCACUGUGGGAGACUCGAGCCAUUGAGUUUGGCUGGAAGGACUAGUGAAGACUUUAUUCCAGGAAAAUUAACCAUUUUGGUCUCUGUUAGAAUUAGAAUAGAUAUGCACUUAUAAGCCUCUUUCCUUGUACACCCAUUUUGUGAAUAUGGUUUUCCCUUUUGGUCUGUCUUGGUUU
rnacentral:misc_RNA from 1 species